CCAAAUUUAGUUCAAAUGGUAAAGAAAUCUGCCUGCAAUGCAGAAGAUUAGGGUUCAAUCCCUGGGUCAGGA
rnacentral:tRNA from 1 species